GACGAACGCUGGCGGCGUGCUUAACACAUGCAAGUCUAGGGGGCCCGCAAGGGUCACCGGCGAACGGGUGCGUAACACGUGAGCGACCUACCCUGGAAUGGGGGAUAGCCGGCCCAACGGCCGGGUAAUACCGCAUACGCCCUGCGAGCUGCAUGGCUUGGAGAGGAAACCUUUUGGGUUCCUGGAGGGGCUCGCGGCCUAUCAGCUAGUUGGUGAGGUAACGGCUCACCAAGGCAAUGACGGGUAGCUGGUCUGAGAGGAUGGCCAGCCACAUUGGGACUGAGAAACGUCCCAGACUCCUACGGGAGGCAGCAGUGGGGAAUAUUGCGCAAUGGUCGAAAGACUGACGCAUCGACGCCGCGUGGAGGAUGACGCCCUUCGGGGUGUAAACUCCUGUUGCUCGGGACGAACCUCCCCAUUCGUGGGGACUGACGGUACCGGGUGAGGAAGCACCGGCUAACUCUGUGCCAGCAGCCGCAGUAACAC
rnacentral:rRNA from 1 species